CCCUUAGAUGUUCUGGGCGGCCCGCGCACUACAUUGGCGCUCUCAAUAAGUUCCUAGAUCUAAAACUUUGGGGUAUUCUAUUAAGUGGUGUCGUGACUGGGAUUAACCCUUGCAAUUAUUGGUUACGAACGAGGAAUUCCUUGUAAUCGCGGUUUAUCAGCCCGCGUUGAAUGCGUCCCUGCCCUUUGUACACACCGCCCGUCGCUCCUACCGAUGAAUCGUCCGGUGAAGUUCAUGGAGUGGUGGUUGUUCCAGCUGCUGUCGAAGUGAAAUGGACCUCACGAUUUAGAGGAAGGAGAAGUCGUAACA
rnacentral:rRNA from 1 species